GAAAGCCACCUGCCUCUGCCCUUUUCCUAAUUCUGCCAUGUGCCCUAUAUUCAUCUGCUCCAUGGCCCUUGGUCUCCUGGGCGCAGGUGCCCUUGAUGCAGAUGUCACCCAGACUCCAGGGCACCUCAUCACAGGGAAAGGCCAGAAUGUGACAAUGAAGUGUGUCCCAAAGAAGGGACACGAUUAUGUUUACUGGUACCAACAGAUCCUGGCAAAAGAAUUCAAGUUCUUGGUUUCCUUCCAGUACCAAAAUGUCUAUGAAACAGCAUUGCCCGGGAAGAGAUUUUCAGCUAAGUGUCCCCAGAACUCACCCUGUAGCCUGGAGAUCCAGGAUAUGGAGCUGCAGGAUUCAGCCAUCUAUCUUUGUGCCAGCAGUGAAGCCACAGUGUUAAAUAUUAGCUAG